AUGGAAAAAGCAAGAGAGUUCCAGAAAAACAUCUAUUUCUGCUUUAUUGACUAUGCCAAAGCCUUUGACUGUGUGGAUCACAAUAAACUGUGGAAAAUUCUGAAAGAGAUGGGAAUACCAGACCACAUGACCUGCCUCUUGAGAAACCUAUAUGCAGGUCAGGAAGCAACAGUUAGAACUAGACAUGGACCAACAGACUGGUUCCAAAUAGAAAAAGGAGUACGUCAAGGCUGUAUAUUGUCACCCUGCUUAUUUAACUUCUAUGCAGAGUACAUCAUGAGAAAUGCUGGGCUGGAAAAAGCACAAGCUGGAAUCAGGAUUGCUGGGAGAAAUAUCAAUAACUUCAGAUAUGAAGAUGAUACCACCCUUAUGGCAGAAAGUGAAGAGGAACUAAAGAGCCUCUUGAUGAAAGUGAAAGAGGAGAGCGAAAAAGUUGGCUUGAAGCUCAACAUUCAGAAAACGAAGAUCAUGGCAUCUGGUCCCAUCACUUCAUGGGAAAUAGACGGGGAAACAGUGGAAACAGUGUCAGACUUUAUUUUGGGGGGCCCCCAAAUCACUGCAGAUGGUGCCUGCAGCCAUGAAAUUAAAAGACACUUACUCCUUGGAAGGAAAGUUAUGACCAACCUAGAUAGCAUAUUCAAAAGCAGAGACAUUACUUUGCCAACAAAGGUCCGUCUAGUCAAGGCUAUGGUUUUUCCUGUGGCCAUGUAUGGAUGUGAGAGUUGGACUGUGAAGAAAGCUGAGCACCGAAGAAUGGAUGCUUUUGAAUUGUGGUGUUGGAGAAGUCUCUUGAGAGUCCCUUGGACUGCAAGGAGAUCCAACCAGUCCAUUCUGAAGGAGAUCAGUCCUGGGUGUUCUUUGGAAGGAAUGAUGCUAAAGCUGAAACUCCAGUACUUUGGCCUCCUCAUGCGAAGAGUUGACUCAUUGGAAAAGACUUUUAUGCUGGGAGGGAUUGGGGGCAGGAGGAGAAGGGGACUACAGAGGAUGAGAUGGCUGGAUGGCAUCACUGACUCGAUGGACGUGAGUCUAAGUGAACUCCGGGGCUUGGUGAUGGACAGGGAGGCCUGGCGUGCUGCGAUUCAUGGGGUCACAAAGAGUCGGCCACGACUGAGCGACUGA
rnacentral:lncRNA from 1 species